GGGAACCACCAGACAGAGAAUGAGGAAGGUGACGGGAGCCAAGGACAUCAGACAGAGGCUGGAACUGGACAGAAAUGGGGAAUGAAUUCAGCGGGCUCAUGACAAAGCCUGUGGAUGAAUCAAGGAGUCCUGGAGCAAGAAUCCCACACGUCCUGCACAGCGGUGAGCAUGGCAGGUUUCAGGCUGAACAAAAGAACCAAUUUAAACUAUAACAAAGAAUUGCUUCAAACCUAAUGAAAAUCAGAUCAGCCAUGAUGGCGGAGUCAAAAGACCCUGAGCUCACCUCCUCUCGCAAGUCCACCAAAAUCACAACCAUCUGCAGAACAGCCAUCAAUGAAAAAGACCAGAACCGGCCAGAAAAGAUCUUCAACAACUAAAGACAUAAACAAGGAAUCACAACCACUACCAUUGCACAGAAAAAAGAAAAAAGAAUGAAAAUAAACUAGGACAGUUUAAGAGACCUCUGGGACAAUAUCAAGCACACUAAUAUUUGCAUUAUAGGGGUCCCAGAAGGAGAAGUGAGAGAAAGGGGCUGAGAGAAAGGGGCUGAGGAAGACAUAAUAGCUGAAAGCUUCCCUAACCUGGGGAAGGAAACAGUCACCAAAUCCAGAAAGUACAGAGAGUUCCAUACAGGAUUAACUCAAAGAAGACACAUAACAAGACACAUUGUAAUGAAAAUGACAAAAAUUAAAGGUAGAGAAUAUUAAAAGUAGCAAAGGAAAAGCAACAAAUAACAUACAAGGGAAUCUUGUCUGCAUUAUUGACUUCUAUACCCCCAACACCCAGGACUGAACCUGACACAUACUAAAUGUAACAGUUAUCUAUUGCUGUGUAACAAACUACCUCAAAGCCAAGUGGCAUAAAAUAAUAAGAAACAUGAAUUAUCUCACACAGUUGCCCUGUGGCAGGAAUUUGGGAGCAGCUCCACUGAGUGGUUCUGGUUUAUGGUCCUCUCAUGGGACUGCAGCCAAGAUGUAAGCCUACAGUUAUCUGAAGGUUUGACUGCAGACUUCCAAAGUGGCUCACUUUCAUGGCUGAUCCAAGAGAGAGUAAGGCAGAGGCCACAAGGUCUUUUAUGACACUGGAAGUCACACAUGUUAUUUCUACAAUAUCCUCUUGGUUACAUAGGUCAGUCCUAGCCACUGUGGGAGAGGAUGACCUCCUGGUGAAUACUAGGAGACUGGGGUCACUGGGGGCCAUCUCAGAGGCUGACUACUACACUAAGUGUUCAAUUAAUAUAUUGAUGAAUAAACUCAUGAUUAAAUGGUAAAAAGAAGUCUGACUGCUUGGAUUCACAUUCUGGCUCUGACACUUGCUGGAUGUAUGGUUUUGGCAAGCUAUUUAACUUCUGUAAGCCUCAGUUUCCACAUCUAUAAAAUAAAAUUGCUGUAAGCAUUAAAUUAUAUGUGAAGUGUAAAGGCCCUUAACAUGAUGUGGUGCAUAUAAGUGCUCAAAAAAUGUUGUCUAUUUUUUAUUACGGUUACUAUUAAUUCUCGACCAUAAGUCUCCUCAUUAAUAUUCCUUUGUAAGGGUUUAUUCUUCAAGGAGAGAGAAACUCACUUGUCUAGAAAAAUUGUUUGAAUCACUUUACUUGUGCAAAAACAUCCAAAACAUUUUCAAGAUGCCCUGGAAGCAAGAUAAUUGGCAAUAGAAGAUUUUAAGAUUUAUUGAAAGAAGAAUAUCAAGGCCACUGGAGAAAGCUGGUAUCUGGGAAAAUUGGAUCAAGAUGGCAGCUGAGCAUAGGUUUUGGUCACUCUCCCUACCCAGGAAGAAACAGCAAAUCAAUACUACCAGUGGAAUACAAAAACGUGUGCCAUCAGCAGACCAGAAACUUCUAGGAAUUCAUAAAAGAGAGGAAGCAGAUGGGCACUGUGAGAUAAUAGAAAAUAUAUAUAUAUAUACUGGUCUCUGCCCUCAGUCCCUGGCACAGAGUCCCUAAAACCCUUGUACAUUCCUAAGUGAUAAGAACACUAGGAGCAUCUUUUAUUUUAAUGAGUGACCCUGGGUGGGCUCCUGGGUGGCUCUUGGAUGGGGGCUGGUCACCAGAAAGACCAAGCCAUGAUUAGAAGCUUGGAAUUUCCAGCCCCACCCCACCCCCAUUCUCCAGAGAGGGGAGAGGGGCUGGAAUGGAGUUAACAAGUUAUCAUGCCUACAUGAUGAAUCCUGCUUAAAAUUCCAAUAGUUUGGGGUUCGGAAAGCAUCAAAGUUGGCAAACACA